rnacentral:misc_RNA from 1 species
GAUGAAGAACGUAGCGAAAUGCGAUAAGUAAUGUGAAUUGCAGAAUUCAGUGAAUCAUCGAAUCUUUGAACGCACAUUGCGCCCGUCAGUAUUCUGGCGGGCAUGCCUGUUCGAGCGUCAUUACAACCCUCAGGCCCCCGGGCCUGGCGUUGGGGAUCGGCGGAGCCCCCCGUGGGCACACGCCGUCCCCCAAAUGCAGUGGCGGUCCCGCCGCAGCUUCCAUCGCGUAGUAGCUAACACCUCGCGACUGGAGAGCGGCGCGGCCACGCCGUAAAACACCCAACUCUUCUGAAGUUGACCUCGAAUCAGGUAGGAAUACCCGCUGAACUUAAGCAUAUCAAUAAGCGGAGGA